CAACAUGAAUCAACCAUUAAGAUACUUCUUCUGUUUGUUUAUUUUUCUUAUAUCAGCCUAUGUCCUUAUUCCAGCUGAAGCACGUGUAAUAUGCAAUUGUAACUCACUCUUACCAGAGCAUGCUUUCUGCCUCGAUUGCGAUCGAAGAGGAACAAAAUAAUAUAUAUUACAAUUCAAUAAUGAAAUCUAUGA